rnacentral:rRNA from 1 species
AGACGACGCCGGCGGCAUGCCUAAUACAUGCAAGUCGAACGAACUCUUCGGAUUAGUGGCGCACGGGGUGACGUAACGCGUGGGAAUCUGUCCCCUUGGUUCCGGAAUAACAGGUUGGAAACGACUGCUAAUACCGAUGAUGACGAAAGUCCAAA